GCUCCUUUGGCCUAGUGGUUAUGGCGUGGCUCUUAUGUGGUUUUUCUGGAAACAGACUCCGCAUGACCGGACUAGCUGAAGUCGAGGGUUCGACUCCCUCAAGGAGCA